ensembl:lncRNA
CUACAACAUGAAGUGAACCACACCGUGACAGAUACAGCAUUUUUAGGAAACGCACCAUGGAAGUUGGCAGCGCAUUCCCUAGGAACACGGAUCCUCAAGGUCAUUCAACUGGUGUCAAGGGAAACUUCCAUGGAGGUGUGGUCAAAACCUUCAGAAUUCUGGGAUCCACAAUCUGCCGGGACCUGAAAUGGGCCUCUAACAACAACCCCAUCGGGAAGAAGCACCACCAGAAUUUCUGUUCUACUCAGUCAUCAUCCAGUCUCUUUUCUUUAGGACAGGAACAGACUACAACACAUCAAAAGGUGCUAGAGAGCACUGUGCGCCAAAACCAACCAACCACCAGACACAGGAACAGCCUCAUCCAGCAUGCCGUCU